CAGCCGCCGCGGUAAUACGAAGGGUGCAAGCGUUACUCGGAAUUACUGGGCGUAAAGCGUGCGUAGGUGGUGGUUUAAGUCCGUUGUGAAAGCCCUGGGCUCAACCUGGGAAUUGCAGUGGAUACUGGAUCACUAGAGUGUGGUAGAGGAUAGUGGAAUUUCCGGUGUAGCAGUGAAAUGCGUAGAGAUCGGAAGGAACAUCUGUGGCGAAGGCGACUAUCUGGGCCAACACUGACACUGAGGCACGAAAGCGUGGGGAGCAAACAGGAUUAGAUACCCGCGUAGUCCCUGUCUCUUAUAU
rnacentral:rRNA from 1 species